CGCAAAGAAAGUAUCAGUUAGAUGAGAAAUUAGCCAGAAACUGAAGCAGAAGGAAGGAAAAUCAGUCAGUCCACAGGGAUACAGACGCUGCUUUAUACCUCCGGUGUGCCCCCUACCCUGCCGAGCUGGCCUCUGUCUGCACAGGCUGCCUCCAAGGGCAUUGGCUUCCUGAACUUAUGGAUGCACAGACACGUGUGCUGAGCAAGUUCCCGUUGGUGUCCACAGCUGCACAGAAGCUGCACAGAAGCCCUGGGGGAAAAACUUGUGGAGAACACUGGAGGGCGCUCUGUCUUCUUGCUGAUCUUAAAGGGACAAGUGCUUCACCUGGGAGAGCCCUGUCUUUCUGACUCCAGAUAGACAUCCCUGGCAGUGGUGGUGCAGCAAGAACUGGAGUUCUCAAGCAUCUCCAAAAAAAAUGGUCCUGGAGUUGCCAUUGGAAGACAUCCCUAGCCCUGCUUCAGCUGUUCCCUUGUUUCAUGUCCUUGGAUUAAGUCACUCACCCCUGAAGAUCCGUCUCGUCUUCUGUAAACCGGAAGCUGAUGAUAAUGAUCCCAAUGACCUCACAGGAGGCUGAAAUGACAGUCUGAAUGUGCAAGAGCAUUGCAUACGAUGAAAUGUACAAAUGGAAGGCAUCUCCCUCUCUUUAUCACUGUCAUCAUCUUCAUUGUCCUUAUCGUCAUCGUCCUCAUCAGCAGGGAAGAGUGAAGCUUCUUGCAGCAGACAUGCUUUAUUGGUAUUCUCGGAAAUGUCUGUCUGAAGUAGGCCACACAUGAGCUGCAUGGAGGAAAUGGAUUUAAUUCAUAAUCAGCUUCAUUAGGGGUCCACUUCAGAGGGACGUUCAUAGGAGCCUUAAGCUGUACAUCCGCUGGGCUCUCCUCUGUGAUGGCUCGGGCCUGCCCAGCUAUACUUAGCUGGUGAUGUGAAACGGGUAGAGGCAGGAACUGCAAAGGAAGCAGC
ensembl:lncRNA